rnacentral:rRNA from 1 species
UACAGAGGUCCCAAGCGUUGUUCGGAUUCACUGGGCGUAAAGGGUGCGUAGGCGGUCUGGUAAGUCUGACGUGAAAUCUUCAAGCUCAACUUGGAAACUGCGUCGGAUACUAUUCGGCUGGAGGAAUGGAGGGGAGACUGGAAUACUUGGUGUAGCAGUGAAAUGCGUAGAUAUCAAGUGGAACACCAGUGGCGAAGGCGAGUCUCUGGACAUUUCCUGACGCUGAGGCACGAAAGCCAGGGGAGCAAACGGG